GACGAACGCUGGCGGCGUGCUUAACACAUGCAAGUCGAACGGAAAGGCCCUGCUUUUGUGGGGUGCUCGAGUGGCGAACGGGUGAGUAACACGUGAGUAACCUGCCCUUGACUUUGGGAUAACUUCAGGAAACUGGGGCUAAUACCGGAUAGGAGCUCCUGCUGCAUGGUGGGGGUUGGAAAGUUUCGGCGGUUGGGGAUGGAUUCGCGGCUUAUCAGCUUGUUGGUGGGGUAGUGGCUUACCAAGGCUUUGACGGGUAGCCGGCCUGAGAGGGUGACCGGCCACAUUGGGCCUGCGAUACGGCCCAGACUCCUACGGGAGGCAGCAGUGGGGAAUAUUGCACAAUGGGCGGAAGCCUGAUGCAGCAACGCCGCGUGCGGGAUGACGGCCUUCGGGUUGUAAACCGCUUUCGCCUGUGACGAAGCGUGAGUGACGGUAAUGGGUAAAGAAGCACCGGCUAACUACGUG
rnacentral:rRNA from 1 species